rnacentral:rRNA from 1 species
AGCGAACGCUGGCGGCAGGCCUAACACAUGCAAGUCGAACGAAGUCUUCGGACUUAGUGGCGGACGGGUGAGUAACACGUGGGAACGUGCCUUUAGGUUCGGAAUAACUCAGGGAAACUUGUGCUAAUACCGAAUGUGCCCUUCGGGGGAAAGAUUUAUCGCCUUUAGAGCGGCCCGCGUCUGAUUAGCUAGUUGGUGAGGUAAAGGCUCACCAAGGCGACGAUCAGUAGCUGGUCUGAGAGGAUGAUCAGCCACAUUGGGACUGAGACACGGCCCAAACUCCUACGGGAGGCAGCAGUGGGGAAUCUUGCGCAAUGGGCGAAAGCCUGACGCAGCCAUGCCGCGUGGAUGAUGAAGGUCUUAGGACUGUAAAAUCCUUUCACCGGUGAAGAUAAUGACUGUAGCCGGAGAAGAAGCCCCGGCUAACUUCGUGCCAGCCGCCGCUGAAAUAC